GUCACUGAGUGUGGCUUUGAAGCAACCUUGCCGCCUUCUCCAGCAUCUCUGAGGUUCCUCAAGGCCAGCCAACUCCUCACAUCCAGAGUAGUGUUGCAGUGGAGGCUGCAAGGCGGGACAGCAGCUGGAGUGGCUGGGAUCAGCAGGAGCAGACUGCUACUGGUGUGAGGUUCAGGAGUGAUAAAAAACACCACCAACAACAACAACAACUGCUGGCCUCUUCAUCCUCAAAAGGGGAAGUUUGAAUUUCAAAAGAGUGAGAAGAUCUGAGAAUGAGAGCAAGUUUACUGACCAAAGCCAAGAGUGUGAGAAAAGACAUGCAGGGAAGGAUGACCUCAACAAAUACACCCACACACUCUGGUGUAAGACCUCAUGAAAGUCGGGAGUGUGGCAAAAGGUUUAGUAAUAGGAGUAACCCCAAACAUUACACCCUUACACACACUGGUGCAAGAAACCAUGAGUGUGAAGUUUGUGGGAAAUGUUUCAAUCAGAAGGGUCACUUCAACACACACACCCUUACACACACCAGUGCAAGAAAUCAUGAGUGUGAAGUUUGUGGAAAAUGUUUCAAUCACAAGGGUAACCUCAAAUUACACACUCUUACACACACUGGUGAAAGAAAUCAUGAGUGUGAAGUUUGUGGAAAAUGUUUCAAUCGGAAGAGUAACCUCAAAUUACACACACUUACACACACUGGUGAAAGAAAUCAUGAGUGUGAAGUUUGUGGAAAAUGUUUCAGUCGGAAGAGUAACCUCAAAUUACACACUCUUACACACACUGGUGAAAGAAAUCAUGAGUGUGAAGUUUGUGGGAAAUGUUUCAGUCGGAAGGAUAACCUCAAAUUACACCUUGUUACACACACUGAUGCAAGAAGUCAUGAGUGUGAAGUUUGUGGGAAAAAGUUCAAACUGAAGAGGAUAUUGGACAGGCACAUCUUCAGACACUCUGGUCAUAAAGGGUUCAAGUGCGAUGUUUGUGGGAAACGUUUCAUGACUAAGGGUGAGAUUGUCAGGCACAUGAAGGUCCACUUCUCCUGAGGUGCUGUGCUGAUUCAGUUCUGCUGUGUGUGUGAGUGCAAGUGUUUGUUGUGGUGGUGUUACAGGGCUGUGUGUAGCACAGAGAACAGAAAAUAUUCAUCUAUUGGAACAAAUGGUGACUGUGACGGCAUGAUCUGUUAUUCACUUUCCACCCCAGGCUUCAUGUGGUUGGUGGGUCCUGUGAAAGGUCUGAUCUUUUUGGUGACUGUGCUGGGCUGGCUGUUGUGGCCUGGGCUUAUUGGUCAAGUGUGUGUGUGUUAAUAGUAAUAAUAUAGUGUAUUUGGUCUUACCAGCCGCUAAGCUAAAAAUGUACACAUUAUAAACACAUUGUAAAGAACAGUAGGUAGGGGUUCAGGGAUCUAACACAUCAGUGGGAGGUUGGAAUGAUAGUGGUGGGAGGGUUGAGUGCAGUGUGGUGGUGCCGGGGAGGGGGAGGACAUCCUCUUCCAGAUGGUGGCAAGGUGUUAGUCCCAAGGUGUGACAUUCAUGUAGGUGUGAAAGAGGGGCGACGAUAUGAUUGAGCACAUGCUACUUGAGUGAUGUAUGUAUAUAAGAGAGAAAAGGGGAUUAUGGUAACAGUUGUGACUGAAUGGAAUAGGAUGUUGGAGAGGGAUGUAAAAAGGUUAAAUGCAUGCAAUAUUGUUUAAGCUGAGGUCAUUUUCAAAGCAGACAAUUGUUGUCAUUCAGUAGAUCAUGUCAUUCUUAAUCAUCAGAAAUCAUUUUCAAGACUCAAUUCUGACCUGUCACAUUGCGUAGAUCUUGUCAUUCUUAGUCAGUUGAGGUCAUCUUGAAGCCAACAAUUCUUGUUUCAUAGUUCAAUUCUUGUCAUUUUCCCUCUUUUUGUUCCUCAGAUAUAUUUUUCAAAUUAAUAUCAUAUUUAUUUCCAUUUAUUUCAUUUUGAGAGCAGGCAUUAAGGCCAGGUUAUGUUAGGUUACCUUAUAUUUAGUUUAAUUAGGUCAGAUGAGGUUAGGUUACAUUUAAUUUGAUUAGGGUAGUUAGUUUUAAUUGUGUUCACUGAAUGUGUAAUAUGCUUCAGUUAUAUAAUGUGUACUUGCCAUUGCCAAUGGAGCUUGGGAAUAAUAACACAUGACUUAGUCA